rnacentral:ncRNA from 2 species
UACGGAGGGUGCAAGCGUUAUCCGGAUUCACUGGGUUUAAAGGGUGCGUAGGUGGAUAUUUAAGUCAGUGGUGAAAUCUCCGAGCUUAACUCGGAAACUGCCAUUGAUACUAUUUAUCUUGAAUGCCCUGGAGGUAAGCGGAAUAUGUCAUGUAGCGGUGAAAUGCUUAGAUAUGACAUAGAACACCAAUUGCGAAGGCAGCUUACUACGGGGUGAUUGACACUGAGGCACGAAAGCGUGGGGAUCAAACAGG